rnacentral:rRNA from 1 species
CGCGUAGGCGGUCUUUUAAGUCAGAUGUGAAAGCCCGGGGCUUAACCCCGGAAAUGCAUUUGAAACUAAGGGACUUGAGUAUGGGAGAGGGAAGUGGAAUUCCUGGUGUAGAGGUGAAAUUCGUAGAUAUCAGGAGGAACACCGGUGGCGAAGGCGACUUCCUGGACCAAUACUGACGCUGAAGCGCGAAGGCGUGGGGAGCAAACA